rnacentral:rRNA from 1 species
UACAGAGGGUGCGAGCGUUAAUCGGAAUUACUGGGCGUAAAGCGUGCGUAGACGGUUAUUUAAGUCGGAUGUGAAAGCCCCGGGCUCAGCCUGGGAAUUGCAUUCGAGACUGAAUAGCUAGGGUGCGGUAGAGGGAAGCGGAAUUUCCGGUGUAGCGGUGAAAUGCGUAGAUAUCGGAAGGAACAUCAGUGGCGAAAGCGGCUUCCUGGACCAGCACCGACGUCAGGCACGAAAGCGUGGGGAGCAAACAGG